rnacentral:rRNA from 1 species
CCUACGGGGAGCUGCAGUGGGGAAUAUUGGACAAUUGGCGAAAGCCUGAUCCAGCCAUGCCGCGUGUGUGAAGAAGGCCUUCGGGUUGUAAAGCACUUUCAGUGGGGAAGAAAGCCUUGGGGCUAAUACCCUCGAGGAAGGACAUCACCCACAGAAGAAGCACCGGCUAACUCCGUGCCAGCAGCCGCGGUAAUACGGAGGGUGCGAGCGUUAAUCGGAAUUACUGGGCGUAAAGCGCGCGUAGGCGGUCUGAUAAGCCGGUUGUGAAAGCCCCGGGCUCAACCUGGGAACGGCAUCCGGAACUGUCAGGCUAGAGUGCAGGAGAGGAAGGUAGAAUUCCCGGUGUAGCGGUGAAAUGCGUAGAGAUCGGGAGGAAUACCAGUGGCGAAGGCGGCCUUCUGGACUGACACUGACGCUGAGGUGCGAAAGCGUGGGUAGCAAACAGGAUUAGAUACCCCUGUAGUC